UCUUUUUUUUUUUUUUUACUGCACUUCUGCAAAUGCUUUCAGUGCAAUAGUGGUGUCAGGUGAGACAGUGUUGGCAGCAACCUCUUGUAUCUACCUUACCCCCCCCCCCCCCCCCCCCCAUCCAGGCUUCACAGGUUCCUCACACACCCCAAAGCCAAUCCCAACAACCCGCCCUGCCUGACACCCAGCAACCAAUCACAGCAGAGCUUCCACAGGUGGGUGUGGUCCUGGAAGAGCAUUCAAUCAGCCUCACGGUGCCCAAGGACACCACAGAUGCAGCAGAGCUUGCCACCCCAGGGGCACUGAAUUCGGGCCCUUGCCCCUCUCGCCUGGUGCUGAUAGCGACCCUACUGCCCCUCAGUAUCACCGUCCUCAUCUGCCUCGGCCUCGUUGUGACGUUUGUAAUUUUUCCGUCCAAGCUACGGGAUAUGUCUCCCCCCUGUGGCAGCAACGUGAACUGCAGCAAUAGCCCAGCGCCUCCUUUUCUUGCCAAGCAUCCAGUUAACCAAACUGGAAAUUUCAGUUCAGGUA